CGCUCCGCUAGGCUGCAGCGGCUUCUCAGACUUCCCGCUGCUGAGGCCCUGGGCCUUCCCCGGAGUCGCGGUGAGGCAGCGGAGGAAAAUUCUGGCAGCAACACAGCUGGACAGUUCAGACCUUCUUUAGAAAACGUACUCUAACCCACAGAAGGACAAGCAUUGCGUGAGGCUUUCUAUAAAUUGCCCAGGCUGCCCCCACCAC